AAUUCCACCCAAUUCCCUCAAAUUCCACCCAAAUUCCCCAUAUUUCCCUCAAAUCCCCUCAGGACCCCCCAAAAUCCCCUCAGGGACUUCCCGAAAACUCCUCAAAAUCUUCCCAAAUCCCCUCUGUUUCCCUCAAAUCCCCUCAGGAUCCCCAAAAUCCCCUCAGGACCCCUCAAGGACCCUCAAAUCCUCUCGGGAACCCUGAAAAUCUCCCCAAAUCCCCUCUAUUUCCCUCAAAUCCCCUCAGGAUCCCAAAAAUCCCCUCAGGAUCUCCAAAAUCCCCUCAAGGACCCCUCAAAUCCCCUCAGGAACCCUCCAAAUCUCCCCAAAAUCUCCCCAAAUCCCCUCUAUUUCCCUUAAAUCCCCUCAGAAUCCCCCCAAAUCCCCUCAGGAUCCCCAAAAUCCCCUCAGGAUCCCCCCUCUUUUUACCGCUUUCUCGUCCGCGCCCCGCAGGAACCUCUUCACUCUGGGCCGCGGCACCGGCGCCGGCCCGGGGAACGGGUCCGUUCUCUGCGGGAAAAGAGGGAAUGAGACUGGGACCACCCCAAAAAUCCUCUCGAGAUUCCCGAAAUCCCCCAAAUUGGAUGAAUUCUCGCCCCGUCCCCUCACUCACCCCGGACACGCCGCCCGCCAUCACGACCAUGCGGAGAUACCACGCCUACUUCCGGGUGAGGAGCCAAUCCGAUUGAAGGGCGGGAAAAAAUCCGACCAAUCAGCGCGAAGCGGCGCGGGAAAAGGUUGAAGGCGGAGGCGCCAUCUUGGGUGAGGGCAAAGCGGGUAUCGAGCAAAGCACGGGCGCCAUCUUUGUUGUGGGCAGCACCAUUUUGGGUGAGGGCGCAGGGCGCGGCCGCCGCCAUCUUUGUUGAGGGCAAAUCUCCGCCCGCCAAUUCCAGGUCGGUUUUCCCAAAUUUUGUUCCAUCCCAAAUUCCCUUUUUUUUUUUCCUUCAAGAAGCGAUUCCCCUUCCCAAACCUCUCCUUUUUAUCCUGAAUUUUUAUUUUUAAAAAUAUCGGUAUUUUUUCCUCAAAAAUGCGCUUCCCUCCCUCCCCUUCCCCCUCACGAAAAUUCGUUUUUAUUCCCCAAA
rnacentral:lncRNA from 1 species